GACGAACGCUGGCGGCGUGCUUAACACAUGCAAGUCGAACGGAAAGGCCCCUUUGUUGGUACUCGAGUGGCGAACGGGUGCGUAACACGUACGUAACCUUCCCUUGACUUCGGGAUAACUUCAGGAAACUGGGGCUAAUACCGGUUAGGAAUCCUUUCUUCAUGGUGGGGGUUGGAAAGCUUCGGCGGGUUUUGAUGGACUCGCGGCGUAUCAGCUUGUUGGUGGGGUAGUGUCUUACCAAGGCUUUGUCGGGUAGCCGGCCUGCGGGGGCGACCGGCCACAGUGGGACUGAGAGACGGCCGAGACUCCGACGGGAGGCAGAAGUGGGGAAUAUUGCACAAGGGGCGGAAGCCUGAUGAAGAAAGGCCGCGGGCGGGAUGACGGCCUUAGGGGUGAAAAACGAUUGCAGCAGGGGCGAAGCUUGUGGUGACGGUACCUGCAGAAGAAGCAACGGCUAACUACGUG
rnacentral:rRNA from 1 species